AACAUGUAUAUGUAUGUACCUACAUAAUAUCUGACUCUAAUUAUGCUACUUACUGUCUAUAGAUUAGGCACCACAUAUGGUUUAGCUAGGCACUGAAUAUAGAUUCCCUUUACUUGACAAUGUUGAUGAGUGGGAUCUCUGUUAUUCUUGUUCUCUUUAACUUGGUUCAUUCACUUGAGUGAGUUGGUAGUCCACCAGUAUUAAUUUAUGUGCAUUUUGAUGAUUUCCAGUUGCCAUUGAGCUUUACCUGCUGUGGACAUUGUCUUGUGCAUAGACGGGGCUGCUGCGUUGGUCCUGGUCAGUGGAGCCAUGGUAGUGAAACUCGGAUUGGACGUUAUUGCUAGAAUCAGAGGCUAUGCUGAUGCUGCACGGGUUGUCACUCUCUUAAAUCAGAGGUUGCUCAAUAUUGACCCUGUGAGUUUUUAUCUAAUCUAUGAUAAUAUCUGUCACAACAUAGACACCCCUUCUUUGUCUUUUUGCAUUUCUGUGCUGUUUAUUUGAUUCUAAUGGUACUGUUGGUCCUUGUUUUUUGUA